CAGAUCUUGUUUCUCAGCUUUAUAUGAUCUUUUUACAGCUUCAAUAGUAUCAUUAGGAAAGAGCACUGGCAAGGCACAAUGAUGUGCUUAUUUCCCUUUCCACUUUGAUACGCAAUCUUGUAGUGAUCAGCCAAUGCUUUAUCAAGUGGGUCAAGGUUUUUCAACUGUACUUGGUCUAAUCAAAUGCCAUUUUUAGCAUCCUUCCACUCUCUCAGCAAGAGACCACAAUCUUCGCUGCCUCUGCGUGCAUUAAAAAGUGUUAGGCGACACACAGCCAAAUCUUUCAAUUCUUUGAAGAGAUACAGCGAUGCCAACCGUCUCAUGUCAGUCAUUACAGACCGCCUACACAUCACCAAAGAACCUGAUGCGACUGAUCUUUCUCUCUGUUUUAAUUUCUGCUCUUCAUUCUCUGAAUCACUUCAGCAUAUGAGUGUGGGUCACCAAUGUUGUCAUCUUCAUUUGGAGAGAUGUCGCCUUCAUUUGGAGGGAUGUCAACUUUGAUGUGCCUUGGUCUAUAUAAUUUACAAUUAGGCUUCCUAAAGUCAUGGACCUAUAACAGUCCGAUAGAAGAAAGGUGGCCGAAUACAUGCGCCACAGCAUUACAACCCAAGUUCGUUACUACAACGCCCAGCAGAGGCAUCGUGAUGCUGUGGUUCCAAAGAAUUUAAUUCAUAGCAUCAAAAAUACAGAAAGUAUUACAUAAAAUUUUUAGAAAUAAGUUUUAUUUUUGCUUGAACAUUUUAUCCUACUAAUUCUUUUGUGCUUUUGAAGUUCAAGGUUGCAUGAUGUGCUAAUCUAUUUCUCUACACCAUUAAAACCUCGGUUUGUUAACAUACCUUGGGAUUUUGUAUCUUGGACAACGUUUCUAUGGUAACUGGAGUUUUUGAGUUGUGGAAAUAGGUGUGGCGCUAGUGAGGGGUAGUGGGGUCAAGUAAGACCACUACUCGUCGGGGAGAAAGAAAUUAUAUAAACACCCUGAUGCAGCAUUUAUUUUUCCCUCGAAUAAAGGCCCCCUAUAUGACUGAUAAAAAAAUCUAAUAGAAGCAACAUAAUUCUCAACAUAUUCAAUUCUCUAACCUGGUUGGGAUCAAUAUGUGAUUAUGAAUAUAUUUUCAAUGAUGUUUCAUGUUAUAUAAUCAGCAUCAUUAUUAGUGGAAAGAAUUGUUACAAAAAAUAAACCAUCUUUAUUCCGUUUUAGUCAAAUGAAGCCUCAUCUCUUGGAAACACUUUCAUGUCACAUCAUUUUGAAAUGCCUUUCAAACAAACAACUGCUGUCAUGUGUUUUUCAAAGAGGAUAUUUACUGUCUGAAAGAUGUGUUUCACAUUCCAGAUCAAGUUAAAACAUGUAUUUCCCGUCGAAGUUAGAUGGUACGACAGUUUUAUGCUGCAGGAGUCAGGCCUACUGGAUCAAUUGAUACAAACAAUGAAAUCAUGUGUAUUUAUGGAGACCCAGUCUACCCUAUAAUACCUCAGCUUAAGCACCAUUUAAAGGCAACCUGUCACCAAUAGAACAGGUCUACUACAAUAAGGCAAUGAGUGAAGUGCGUGUCUCUGGAAAAUGGUUAUUUGGGGACAUAUUAAAUUACUUUAAAUUCACAGAUUUUAAAAAAUCACAAAAUGUUGGAAUGAGUGACUAUUAAGUGAUAAAAUAAAUAAUAAUUAAUUUGGAAAUGUUAAGCGCAUAGAGUUCUAGAUAUGCGCUAUAUAAACAUACAAUAAUAACAAUAAUAAUAAUAGUGUGUGCAGUGGGGAAUAUGUACACAGAAGCACAUGUGAUUUCUUUGAACUCAAUCCUCCCGAAUUAGAUGAUUAUUUUCAGUGAAUUUUGUUUGUUGGUCUGUUGACACAAUAAAAGUUGAUAUCGGAUAUAAA
rnacentral:misc_RNA from 1 species